AUCCCCUUGCCCCACCAAUUCCUUUUUUCUUCGCAUCCACAAAUUUCUUCAGCCGUAAUUCACUCAAUUUCGCAAACUCGUAGGAGCCCAAAUCGGUCUUCAGGUCACCAACUCGUUGGAGCUUACAAGCGGUGCAGUCGUACGCGUAGGCGAUUGUCCGCUUUCGGAGGUGAUUGAACUCGUACAACCGUCUGUACAUUUUCGCUCCGGCAAAUUCUCCGAUCUUCAGGAAGUUUAUCCAGCGCGAUUUUCCUUGUGGCUGGGACUACUAUAAGCAUCUCAUCCUUUAAUGUUCUUUCCAUUUUCCGUCUUGUUUAUGUCUCUUCAUAUUUCAUUAGAAUUGAUAAUCGUAUUUUGACAUAAAGCUAAAUGAAAAGAUAUGUUGUUGUCUAUCGAGCAUUUAAAUUUAAAUUAAAUUUCAUUAGUCCUAUCCUGUACAUUUCUAUCGAGCAUUUUUUGAAAUUGUAAAAAGACAUGUUGUUGUCUACAUAUUGGUGCUGGGAUCCUCGCCAUUCCUGCAGUAACUCAAUAAUCCGGAUUUCUAGCCUCAGCUAUUACGUGCACAUUUUGUUGGGCCUACAUGGUAAGGUUGUGACGAGACUGCUAAUUGCUGAAGUGAACGUGAAUACCAUGUGUGAACUGGUUUUUGGUGGCGUGUCUCCGGUAAACUCUUUUUUGUUUCUAAAAUUCUAGGGUGAAAUGAAAAUGUGAGUUUUUGCAAGGAUAAAUACAUAUUCCGUAUGCUUGUUGUUCAAUUUGAGCAUUGUGAAAAAAACAUAUAUAUCAUAAUUAAAUCAUCUAUGGUUCCUCAUCUAUAUAAAUUGUUAGGUGGAUUGCAAUUACAGAGGAAAUUAGUUAUAAUGUUGAAGAAAAAAGGUGGGGCAAAAAUGAAAGGGAAGAAAAUGAAAAUACCAGCAAGUUUAGGGACUGAACUCCAACAUCCAACACCAAAUCUAGUAAUGUAAUUGAAGAGUUUUACAUCUUCCUCAGGUCA